rnacentral:ncRNA from 1 species
CGAUAGAGGUGCGGUAUCGGGUGUAGCAAAGUGGAAACUGCCAAAGUUUUUGAUACUUUGCGAAUAGCUUUACCGCCGAAAAGAAAAAUCCGGCAAAUUUUUCUUUGGUCACAUAUCACAGUGGUCUGUGACUGUCAUCAUAUUCUGUGAUGGAGAGCUAUCU